CCGUAGCCCAAGAGAUCGGGAUAACACCUGGAAACAGAUGCUAAUACCGGAUAACAACAGAUGAUGCCUAUCAACUGUUUAAAAGAUGGUUCUGCUAUCACUCUUGGAUGGACCUGCGGUGCAUUAGCUAGUUGGUAGGGUAACGGCCCACCAAGGCGAUGAUGCAUAGCCGAGUUGAGAGACUGAUCGGCCACAUUGGGACUGAGACACGGCCCAAACUCCUACGGGAGGCAGCAGCU
rnacentral:rRNA from 1 species